rnacentral:ribozyme from 1 species
AGAUGAAAGAUACGGAUCUUCCUCUUCCCGGUCCUGUCGCUCCGGCCCUGAUGCCUUGGCAACAAGCAGAAUUCCUCAACAAAAUCCUGAUAAAGCCUGUCC